GUUGUACCGGCACUGGUCGUCCUGGCACCUCGCUUUCUCUCCCAGUUCUGCCUCCUAGUAUAUUCUUUUUCUCAGGCCUGUGUCACACACUGGACAAGUGGAUACUAGAACCUGACUACAGGGGUCUUCGACAUCACAUCAGUGCUUUGUGAAUGUGAGAAACACGAAGAUACCAGAGUGUAGGGAACAGGAGGAUGAUGAAGACCCCUGGCCCCUCAAAGACCACCUGCCUGAUGCUACAAAGAAAAGACUGGAGGAGAAGAGCCACCACAUCAUGAGGUAGUUAUGUGAAGGAGGUCCACAUCAUAAGGCACUGAGAUCUCCGGACAACAGCAUUGCCAGCUCCCUGCUCAUCAGUGCACUAUUUUGAAUAUAAAUCCACUAGCUCAGGCCAAGCCUUCAGGUGUCUACAGCCCCAGUUGAAAUGCCUGCAACCCCCUGAGAGGGUGCAAGGUAAUGUCAAGCUCUGGAGUAAAGCAAUUUAUUUUGCUAUUAUGUCCUAUAACCAGACA